rnacentral:lncRNA from 1 species
CAAGUGAUUCCCCUGCCUCAGCCUUCCGAGUAGCUGUUACUACAGCUAUUCUACUCUUCAUAUGUGAAGGAGUUUGGGUAUAAAAAGAACAAAAGGCAACAUUUGAAGACAUCUCAGAAACCAUUCAAAAGGAAAAACCUUGAUGAUUAGUCAGUAAUUUUGGAGGGAAAAAGUGAAAGGAAUGUUGAUGGACACCACUCUCCUCCCCUGGUGACAACUCUUGAUGCAUCCCUACUGUGACAAGAUCAGAUCUGAAUUUCUGACCUAUAUCAAUUUCCUUCUCUCUGAGGAACUUAUUUGAGUAUUUCGUGCAAGGCAAGUCUACUGGCAACAAAUUACCUCAGUUUUUGUCUGAGAAAGUCUUUUUUUCCUUCUUCACUUUAGAAGGAUAACUUCACUGGAUGAAGAAUUUUAAGCUUGUGUUUUUCUUUAUUUUUCUUUCAACACUUUCAAUAUUUCACUUUAUUCUCUUCUUGCUUGCAUGGUCCCCGAUGAGAAGUCUGAUGUAAUUCUUAUCCUUGUUGCUUUAUAGGUAAUGCUUCCCCCAACUCUCUCAUUUCUUUCAAGAUUUUCUCUUAGCUUUUGAUUUUCUGCAGUUUGAAUGUGAAAUGCCUAGAUGUCGAUUUUUUGGAUUUGUCUUGCUUGGUGUUGUCUAACCUUCCUGGAUCUGUGUUUUGAUGUGUUUCAAUAAUUUCAGAAAAUUCUGAGCUAUUAUUACUUCAAAUAUUUCUUCUGUUC